GUGAAUCAUCGAAUUUUUGAACGCACAUUGCACUCUCUGGUAUUCCGGUGAGUAUACCUGUUUGAGGGUAAUUAAAAAGAAUAUUUUACCAAUUUUUUUUGGUUAAAGGAAAUGAGUUCUCCGCGUUUAUAGCGGUAGCUUGAAGUAAAUGGUAGUCUCAUUUUAGUCGAGACGCGUAAUAAUUUUGUUUCGCGUCAUCUUUAUU
rnacentral:misc_RNA from 1 species